rnacentral:rRNA from 1 species
UACGAGGGGGGCGAGCGUUGUUCGGAAUUAUUGGGCGUAAAGGGUGCGUAGGCGGUUUGGUAAGUCUGAUGUGAAAUCUAUGGGCUCAACUCAUAGUCUGCAUCGGAAACUGUCGGACUAGAGUACGGAAGAGGCGAGUGGAAUUCCUGGUGUAGCGGUGGAAUGCGCAGAUAUCAGGAGGAACACCAAUAGCGAAGGCAGAUCUCUGGGCCGUAACUGACGCUGAGGAGCGAAAGCGUGGGGGAGCGAACAGG